rnacentral:lncRNA from 1 species
AGAAUCCAAUAUAUAAAUCAUGGAUUAUCUGAUUUUAUUGCCCUUUUUACUCAGGAGUCCUGCAAGCCAGACAGUUCACAGGAAAGGGACCAAGAAGAGAUCUAAAAAGAUUAUAUCAUUUUUCUAAAUUACUCUUUGUCUGUACUUAAGGGAAUAUUUGCUGUCUUAAGUAACUGUCUUGAUGUCAUUCCCCGAAGAUUCAGCUAAAGUUCUUGUGUGGCAUAAUGGAUAAUAGUGUUGGGGUUUUGAGAUGCCUGUUCUUCUCACCCAUAAUUUAAACGGUUUUAGGAGAAGCACAGACUAUGAUAUUUUUGUAUUUGGUGCAAGUGACUCACUUUAAAGGUGAGUCACAAGCAGCUUAGCUACUCAAUCUCAGAUCAUAUUCUCAGCAAUUUAUGCAUUUAUCUUCCUAACAAUAAUUCCUACUGUGGCAAUUAAUCCUCUUCCAGAAUCAAAACCAUGUUCUGUUGUCUCUAUUUCUCUUCUUUUCCAGACUCUGCAGAUUCCUACAGAAGAGCAAGAGACAAAGAGAAAGAAUAAUAGGGCUAGACUCAGAGGAGAAAUCAUCAUUGUCCUUCAGAAUCCAACCUUAAGUGAAAAGCUUGCUUCCCUGAUGGGAGCUGGAUUCUCUUAAGAGCCAAGUGAAAAGAAAAUUUUCUGUUGUUUGCUGUGAUACAGUGAAGAAAUGUAAGUGGAGUUAACUUUUACUUAAUUUUAUGUUCAGUUUGCAUGUCUAGCUCCAGUUAAUGAGAAUUAAGGUGAUUGCAUAUCUGUAUUUUAAGUAAAAUGUUGAACAGAUAUAAUACAGGCCUGCAAUAUAAUCCUAAUAUGUAAUUGUUCUAAUAACUCUGAUGUGUAAUUGUUCUUAGAGUGGCAACGACUUUUUAAUGGCUAUUGUGUUAUACAGCAAAUUAAGAUGAGCCACAGAGGAGUAGUCUG